UUUUAACAUUUGUGUGACUGGUUUUAUAUUCUAAAUCACUUAGAAGCCUAUACUGGCAUUAACGGUUAUAUAAAUUAGCACAACAGCAAACAUAGUCAACAGGGUGCCCAGCAAAUACCGUAUUUUUUGCUCUAUAAGACUUACUUUUUCCCUCCUAAAAAGUAAGGGGAAAUGUGUGUGCGUCUUAUGGAGCGAAUGCAGGCUGUGCAGCUAUCCCAGAAGCCAGAGCAGCAAGAGGGAUGUGCAGCGAUCCCUCUUGCUGUUCUGGCUUCUGAGAUUCAGAAUAUUUAUUUUCUUGUUUUCCUCCUCCAAAAAUUAGGUGUGUCUUGUGGUCUGGUGCGUCUUAUAGAGUGAAAAAUACGGUAUUUUGGAUGCUAACUGUUAUUACCCCAGACCAUUGGUCAUGCUGGCUGGGACAGAUGGGAGUUGGAAUCCAACAAUAUUUGGUGGGCACCUUGUUGGCUAUCCCUGUCAUACAUGCUACCCGGAGAUCUUUGGAGAAUGAGUAGAAUUCAAACAUGAUAUCCACCGUGGUAGAUCAAUUGCACAACCCAUUUCUAUUGCUCCUGCAUCAAGGCCCACAUCAAGAUCUUUAUCUAUUGCUGUUUACAAAAGCUUGGAACAGAAUCUCUGUUGAUGGUAUGCAAAUUCGUGACUAGGGCUAGCCUAGGGCUCUUUGACACCUGAGGCAAAACACAAAAUGGCAUCCCUCUUGCUAGGGAAGAAGGUGAUUGACCAUCUACAUCAGGAUAACAUCUGUCUUUCCUAUUUGUCAAGAGGCCACCAUAGAGGUAGCAAGGGGGGCUACCAUGUGAACUCUAUGAUCCCUAUGAAUCCUGAUGCCUCAGGCAGUCUCCUCACCUUGUCUCAUGGGUAGGGCAUGUUUAUGACAGCAUUCUGGCUGAGGCCAGUGAUGGGAAUCCAACCAGUGCUUUUCCCUUGGGGUAUUCAAGGGUAUGCAGUACUGGUACCUUUUUCCUAGAAGAAAAACACUGAAUCCAACAAUCUUUGAAGGGCCACAAAUCGCUCAUCCCUGCUUUUAGAACAAUAACACCAAACACUGGCUAUCCCCCCCCCCCUCCAUUUUGUCAAUAUUUUUCUACUUCAGUAAUCUGUGUUGGGUAUGAAAUAUCAUUUUGCAGUAUAAUAUAAUAUUUUCUUAAAACAUGAGACAAUCUUUUGUUAAAGAUGCAAAGUUAUUCUUGUGCUUACUAUAACUUUUGGGUUCUUCUUGACUCUCACCCCCCCCCCCAUAUUUGACUUCAACUAGAUUAGAUUGAGUUGUAUUUUAUGACUCUUUUGCCUGUUGCAACCUAAGUAAAUUGAUGCUAUGAUUUAUAUUUUAUGUAUAUUUGACAGCAAAAGCAAACCAAUAAGUUGUAUCCAAUUGGCCUAAGCAGCAGCUCAUUUCAGAUAGUUGAAAUCUUGUGGUUUUAGAAUAGUAAAUGAAGAGGGGGGGGAGUGGGUGAUCUGAGCACAGUCAUUUAUUUAAAACAGAUAUUCUAAAGUUUUCUACCCAUUCGAAAAGUCCACACAAUAAAACAGGUGUUGUUUGAGGGGGAAACGGUGUUUGCUUCUUUUGCAUAAUGCAUUAGAUGACUCCCAGAGAAGUUCUUCAAGUAAUCUGAAGCCACAGUCUUGGAGACAAAAUGGACUUUUUGGAGAUUUGGCAUAGGGGAGCUCUUGGCUGAAGACAGAAAAUGAAUCACAUUAGGGCAGAACCAUAGCAAUGAGAGAAUAUCAUUUUUUUUCCAGAACUGGCUUAAUUACUCCAGAAAGGUAAACAAGAACUCUGAUGGAUGAAGCCUAACGGGCAUGUGUGCAAACACUUGUAUGCAGGCGAGGGGCUAUGCUCAGUGGAAGAGCAUCUGUCUUGCAUGCGGAAGGUCCCAGGUUCAAUUAUUGACAUCUCUAGGUAGUGUUGGAAGUGUUUCCUGUCUGAACUCCUGGAGAGUGGCUGUAGACAAUACUGAGCAAGAUGUAUGAGAUGUCUAGCUUAGGGUAAGGCAGCUUCCUAUGUGCAGAAAUAUUGGGUUUUUCACAGGUGCUUCCAAUCUGUACCAGUUGUGCUUGUGUUCACUCUGGGUGGCUUCCAACAAAAUAUUAAAAAUACAAUAAAUGAAUAGGUUGCAACGAAUACAAUGGUACCUCGGGUUAAGUACUUAAUUCGUUCCAGAGGUCUGUUCUUAACCUGAAACUGUUCUUAACCUGAAGCACCACUUUAGCUAAUGGGGCCUCCUGCUGCCGCCGCGCUGCCGGAGCCCGAUUUCUGUUCUUAUCCUGAAGCAAAGUUCUUAACCUGAAGCACUAUUUCUGGGUUAGCGGAGUGUGUAACCUGAAGUGUAUGUAACCUGAGGUACCACUGUACUGUACUUUCAACAGCAGAGAGGAACAAGUUGGGCUGGAGACACCAACAUCCCACUGGUUGUCCAGUCUCCUUCUCAGUGCUUCUCCUUCAGUCGGUGGUGUGAGAAUCUUAGUGCUCACCAGUAAAAGAGCCUGACCAAUGGAAGGACACAAGGUGGGAGAUAUGCUGAGCUGCUUGGUGUGUUUGUUACAGAUCUACUACACCCGCAAGCAUAAAAGGUAAAGGUAAAGUACCCCUGGACUCUAGGCAGCACAGCCAGUGGGAUGAAGCACCACUGCUGUUGGAGUUUGGAUCAGAUCUUUAGGCUACAAAUUAUUCAUGUUUGGAUAAGGGAAGUUUCAUAUAACCAACAUUCGGAUUGCAGGACCUGGAUGUAUAGAAUGCCACUAGAUCAGUGGGUCUCAAACUACUUUUAUUCUUUCAGAAUAAAAAUUUGCUUGCCAAAUCUUUUAUUGAUAAGAAAUACAUUGCAUUUAAAAACAAAAAGAAGCAAUUCCCAGCAGUGCUUGAUUAAUAACAUGGGACACAACCACUUUAUAAUACAAUCGUGGGACAUCCAGGAAGUAUAAAACAAUGCAACUACAUAAGAACAUGAGUCAUUCCCAAAAUAAAAUAUUAAUUGUCCUUGACUCUUCCUGUCACCCCAUCCUAUUCUGCCAUGCCCGUGUGGUGCACCACGCCCUUUGAGAACCACUGCUCUAGGUAAUUAGUCCCACUGCCAAACUACUCUUACUAUCCAGAAGGUUAUUCUAACAUUUAAAUAUAAUCUCCCUUGUAAUUUAACUGCAUUAGAUAUAAUUUUGUCCUCAUGCGGAACAGACAAGAAGCAUUUGCCCUUUUCUAUGCAACAGCUCUUUAGGUGUCGGUGACUGGACAGAGGAGGAAUGGUAGAGACUGCUACCCCCUCAUGAACCUUCCAGAGAUGAGGAAGACCGUAUAGAUUUACAGCAGUAGUUUAAGGACGGUCACAGCUCAGAGGUAGAUAAAGAUCAGAGUUGGGAAAUAAUGGGGGAAGAAGGGGGGAAGCAGUGUCAGAGUAGAUGGCUGACACAUUUAUUACUAGAAAGCAUUCCAGAAUCACCAUCUCCCAUCACCUGGCGAACCUUAAAAGUAGGAGAGCAGAGGGCUCAUACGCAAAUGGCCCUAAGCAGCCACCGUAAGGUGAGUGGUGCUAUUGACGACUGAAGAGAGGGGGGUGGAGUUUACUUGGAGCAACGCCAUUACUCCAAGAUGAAGCAUUUCUUAGCCUCUCUCUGAAUAUUGAAUAAAAUAACUUGGUAAGAGCUUUCCUUGCUUAUCUCUUCCUGGGAACCCACCGUGGGGGGGGGGGGGUCUAAGAGAGUCUAAGUCUAAAAGAGAGGCCAGGGUGAUGUCCACCGUUUCCAGGAACUGUUCUCAUUGUUAUACUUUUGUGAGUGAGCUGAGAGUUUGUUUGGACCCUGGGUGAGAAUCUGGAGGCUGAGGGAGGGUGUGUUCCAAGGGAAAUGAAUAUAACUUUUUAUUCAACUUUUUAUAUGUAACUGUGUAUUUUUGUAAUAUUUUGUUUCAGUUUUCUGUUGUUGCUGCAUCAGAUAUAUUUUUAAUGCAUUCAGUGGUAUAGAAAUUAAAUAAUCAAUCAACUACAUAAUUUCAGUCACUGUUCGACAAGAUGAUUAUUUCCUCCCUUCUUUUUCAAAGAGUACCUGUGACUUCUUAAGCGAGAUUGCUGCUUUAAAUAUAGCUGUUGACCUUUCGUUCAAUUGUUUGCAUGUUAGCAACAUGAAUCAGCGAAAGCAGGCAUUCAGCCUUAGUACUAAAUCAUAUAAAUAUGUAUUGGACAGCACCAAUUCAAUUAAAUGGAAUUCAACAGGACUGGGUAGCCUUCAUUGUUUCAGAAAAGAAUAUAGUGACUGGACUACUUCUUGGAGUUACUUUCACAACAAGAUGCUGCUUGAGUGGCAGCCUACUGAAACUCUUCUGAAUGUUGUGUUCUUCAUUGGCUUUUGAAAAAGGGCAGGUAAGUAAAGUGACUAACAGUUCAUGGAUGGGUGAGUUUAAAAAAAAAACGCAUGUAAGAAUGUUUCGCAGUAUGCUUAUCUCUCAGUGAAUUCAACUGUCCCUCUCAUAGAAUAGGUGUCUGCAAACCAAACACAUUUGGCAGCAUUUACUGUCUGGAACGUGGACGUGGGUGGCGCUGUGGGUUAAACCACAGAGCGUAGGACUUGCCGAUCAGAAGGUCGGUGGUUCAAAUCCCCGCGACGGGGUGAGCUCCCGCUGCUGGGUCCCUGCUCCUGCCAACCUAGCAGUUUGAAAGCACGUCAAAGUGCAAGUAGAUAAAUAGGUACCGCUCCGGUGGGAAGGUAAACGGCAUUUCUGUGCGCUGCUCUGGUUCGCCAGAAGUGGCUCAGUCAAGCUGGCUACAUGACCUGGAGGCUGUACGCCGGCUCCCUCAGCCAUAAAGCGAGAUGAGCACCGCAACCCCAGAGUCGGCCACGACUGGACCUAAUGGUCAGGGGUCCCUUUACCUUUACCUUACUGUCUGGAAAGCUAUUGACCUCUGUUUAUAUAGGGAAAGCGGUGCAUGAGCAUCUAAUAUGCAUACAAAUGUAUCAUUAACAACACCAGGAGAAGAAGAAAAAACAUUGGGAGGGGUCUUGUGAAAAAAAGUAUUGUUGGCUCCCAAGUUUUGCAAAAUAAAUAAAUAUAUAAAAUAAACACACACUGUGCUGCUAUAAAAAGAUGGGAGUGAUAGAACACUCUCCUAUCAAACCCUUUACUGAAACUCUUCUGGAAAACCUCCUGGGAGAACAUUAUCUUCAGCUGCCGGGGACCAAAAUGUUUUUGCAUAUUCAAGAGCAUUGCAGUAAUUUCAUUCCUUUUAAGCAGUAAAAAGUAACAAGUGCUUUAACAAGUUUUAAUUUCAAGGUGUUAUUGGAAUAAGAAAAUUGGUGUCUGGUGUGUUGGGAGCAGUCUACCUUACUUAAUGCCCAUCUGGAAUGUUUCCUUGUUCAACAUCUCAUUCUUUUCCAGGGGGAGAAGAGAAAGAACGUUCUGGUUGUGAGGAAAAAGAAAUCAAGCCUAGUAAAAUAGGAACACACCCACACACACCAGUUUUCUAUGCAGAUGUGUGGGUGUGCACAUGUGUAGGAACAUUGCUAUUUCAUGUGUUAUUUGUGAGAUUAAAGCCUCAGAUAAUAAUCAUAAGAGUUUUGCGGGAUCGGACCAAAGUCCUUUCUAGUCCAGCAUUCUGUUUCCACACCACUCAACCAGAUGUAAAUGGAAAGCCCCCAAAACAGGAUUUGAUGGCGACAGCACCCAGCCCUAUCUGUGAUCCGCAGAACCUGGUUUCCUGAGGCAUGCAGCACACAGUCUCCGAUACUGGAAACAAUAUAUUGCUAUAAAUACUGUAGGAAUUAUGUUACU
rnacentral:lncRNA from 1 species